ensembl:rRNA 5S_rRNA 5S ribosomal RNA
UAUGUCAGCCAUAUCACCCUGCAACUCACAACUGGCAACCCACUGAAGCUAAGCAGGUAUGAGCCUGGUCAGUACCUGGAUGGGAGACCUCCUGGGAAAAACUAAGGUUGCUGCUGGAA